UACGUAGGGUGCGAGCGUUAAUCGGAAUUACUGGGCGUAAAGCGUGCGCAUUCGGCCAUGCAAGACAGAUGUGAAAUCCCCGGGCUCAACCUGGGAACUGCAUUUGUGACUGCAUGGCUAGAGUACGGUAGAGGGGGAUGGAAUUCCGCGUGUAGCAGUGAAAUGCGUAGAUAUGCGGAGGAACACCGAUGGCGAAGGCAAUCCCCUGGACCUGUACUGACGCUGAGGCGCGAAGGCUAGGGGAGCGAACGGG
rnacentral:rRNA from 1 species